GAGAACUGAAAGUCGGGUAUACCCAUGACAGCCGUUCCCAGGGCACAUUUCAGUUCUGUGGGCUGCAGGCUCACACACCCCGAAGGUAGUGGUAAUUACUUCGUAGUUCAUUAGGUUUUCCUUGUGUAGGGUGUUGAAGGAACGAGGGAAUAAGGUAGCUGACUUUGAAAUGAGAUGGGGGAUGGAAAUUCCAGGUGAAUUUAAAGCACCUGGCAAGCAGGCAUCUCUUCUCAGUGUUUCCUUGUUUUUGCCCCAGACUGGGAAGCCAUCACCUUCCUGGCUCUUUCAGAGAAUUUCUGUGUGGUCUUGGUCUGACUCAAUUAACCUCUCCCCUUCUGCAUUUCAUCAUGUGGAUAUGGGUAUAGGAUCAACUUCAAAGAGGUCCAGGGCCUAAUUAAUGUCUCUAGGGUGCCUGAAGAUUCUUGGAUGGAAAAAAAGAAAACCACCACCUGUAUGCAGAAUCGGAGACUGCAUGACAGCAGGUGGAAAUUAUUACUAUUAAAUGUGACUCCGUCUCAGAAUAUUUGGCAAACUCCUCCUCUGGGCCCUGAGAAAUGUCGAGUUGAGGCUAGCAAGUCCAAAUCUUCAGGGUGGCCCAGCAGGCUGGAGACCCAGGACAGCCAACGUUCCAGUUUGAGUCCAAAGGCCGUCUGCUGGAGAACCAAGAAGAGCUGAUGUCACAGAUGAAGUCCUAGGCCAUCUGCUGAAGAAUUGCCUCUUGCCUGGAGGAGAUAUAUUGCACGUGAAAGGCCAUAGUCUCCUGAAGGAAACUGGAGACACUGGAACUGAUCUGUGGAGAUCCCGCAAUGGGCAGACUGUGGGAAACAUGCCGGAACCCUGAAACAAACCUGAACUUGAAAAAGCUUGAACUCCAUGAAGAUAGGAAUUAUGUGUGAUUCAUUUUUAUCCACAGUGUGUAGCAAUGCCUGGCAACACACACUCAAGAAAGCCCUGUCC
rnacentral:lncRNA from 1 species